UACGGAGGGGGCUAGCGUUGUUCGGAAUUACUGGGCGUAAAGCGCACGUAGGCGGCUUUGCAAGUCAGAGGUGAAAGCCCGGGGCUCAACCCCGGAAUUGCCUUUGAGACUGCAUCGCUAGAAUUGUGGAGAGGUAAGUGGAAUUCCGAGUGUAGAGGUGAAAUUCGUAGAUAUUCGCAAGAACACCAGUGGCGAAGGCGGCUCACUGGCCCGAUACUGACGCUGAUGCACGAAAGCGUGGGGAUCAAACAGG
rnacentral:rRNA from 1 species